rnacentral:misc_RNA from 1 species
UGGAAUGAUUUCGGUCAUCUCCUGCU